UGGACACAGAAGAGCCGUCACGUACCUGUCACCAGGACUGCCUUUUGAUCCACAGGUAACAACUCCUCACCAGCUGAGUGCAUACACAUGAAGCAACACGACAGGGAGAAGAGAACCAAGCUCCAGAACAAGGGCAGGAUGAGCAGGACUACGGACCUUCUGGGAAUGGCAUCCAGUUCCUCUCAUCUCCCAGAAAAUUUGGGCCCAGAGAGAACAAAAUAUUUUUAGCACAGUACAAUCAGCACAGAUUAGAAUAAGAGUGUCCCCUCUCCAUCCCUGAAGCCGUAUUUUCUUCAUCUUUCCAAAAACGCAUUUUUGGGUGCCAUGCACAGCCUGACUAGGGGAGAGCCGACACCAGCCCUCUCCUGCCAGUCGACACUAUUUGCAGACUGUGGGGGAGGAGAACAAGACGUCAACAAGAAGCUAAGACCUCUGUGGGUCAACAACAUGCACGGGCUGACUGGGGGAGAGCCAGAUGCCAGCCCCUUCGGGCAUGAGGGCAGAGAGACUAGAAGAGCCCACACGUCCCACCUUCCCAUAAGUGAUCGGCUGAUCUGGAGAAACACAGGCCAUGAUGAUAGCUAAUAAUGUAAAAUACAACUGAAUGCUUGUAGUGUUUGUGUUUCUCUGACUCUGCAGGUCUAAAGCCAGUAGUCUGAUCAUCUAUUCAGUAUUGAUAACAAUACUCAGUGUAGCAUAUACGGGCUCUCCUUCUGAAGAUGGUGUCCAUUGUUAAUUCCCUAUUACCUUGCUUCAAAAUCCUGUAUCGUUCUCAUUGUUUUGUUUGGUUGAGUUUUAUUCUGCUUUAUCUUGCGUGCUUUUUCCGUAUCUGAUGGCAUGGGCAGCUAUUUCAAAGAUAACAAGAUAGAUCAUGGUAGCCAUCUUCUACUUACUACUGUCUUGUUUGGAAGUCCUGUAUUGCAUUCAUUGUUUUGUUUUUAUUGGUUCUAUUCUGUUCUAUUUUGUUUGAUUUUACUGUGUCUGAAGGUACAGGCAGCUAUUUUGAAGAGAACGGGAGGCAUUAUGGUAGCCAUUGUUGAUUUCCUAUUACCUUGUUUGGAAAUCCUGUGUCACUUGCAUUGCCUUGUUUGGAUUGGCUUUAUUCUGUUUUAUUUUACUUUGUUGUAUUCUAUCUAAAAUAAAAUUUAAAAAAAACAA